AACGAACGCUGGCGGCAGGCUUAACACAUGCAAGUCGAACGCAUCCUUCGGGGUGAGUGGCAGACGGGUGAGUAACGCGUGGGAACGUGCCCUUCAGUUCGGGAUAACCCAGGGAAACUUGGGCUAAUACCGGAUACGUGCGAGAGCAGAAAGAUUUAUCGCUGAAGGAUCGGCCCGCGUCUGAUUAGCUAGUUGGUGGGGUAAUGGCCCAACAAGGCGACGAUCCGUAGCUGGUUUGAGAGGAUGAUCAGCCACAUUGGGACUGAGACACGGCCCAACCUCCUACGGGAGGCAGCAGUGGGGAAUAGUGGCCAAUGGGCGCAAGCCUGAUCCAGCCAUGCCGCGUGAGUGAUGAAGGCCUUAGGGUUGUAAAGCUCUUUCGUCCGGGACGAUAAUGACGGUACCGGAAGAAGAAGCCCCGGCUAACUUCGUGCCAGCAGCCGCCGUAA
rnacentral:rRNA from 1 species